rnacentral:rRNA from 1 species
GACGAACGCUGGCGGCAUGCUUAACACAUGCAAGUCGAACGAGAAUCUGUGGAUCGAGGAUUCGUCCAAGAGAAGCAGAGGACAGUGGCGGACGGGUGAGUAACGCGUGAGCAACCUUUCCUCUACUGGGGAAUAACACCGGGAAACUGGUACUAAUACCGCAUGAGACCACAGCAUCGCAUGGUGCAGGGGUCAAAGAUUUAUCGGUAGAGGGUGGGCUCGCGUCUGAUUAGAUAGUUGGUGGGGUAACGGCCUACCAAGUCGACGAUCAGUAGCCGACCUGAGAGGGUGAUCGGCCACAUUGGGACUGAGACACGGCCCAAACUCCUACGGGAGGCAGCAGUGGGGAAUAUUGGGCAAUGGGGGAAACCCUGACCCAGCAACGCCGCGUGGAGGAAGAAGGUUUUCGGAUCGUAAACUCCUGUCCUCAGGGAAGAGCAGAAGACGGUACCUGAGGAGGAAGCCCCGGCUAACUACGUG